GAUGAAGAACGCAGCGAAAUGCGAUAAGUAAUGCGAAUUGCAGAAUUUCCGUGAGUCAUCGAAUCUUUGAACGCACAUUGCGCCCUCUGGUAUUCCGGAGGGCAUGCCUGUCCGAGCGUCAUUGCUGCCCUCAAGCACGGCUUGUGUGUUGGGCCCCGCCCCCCGAUCCCGGGGGGCGGGCCCGAAAGGCAGCGGCGGCACCGCGUCCGGUCCUCGAGCGUAUGGGGCUUUGUCACCCGCUCUGUAGGCCCGGCCGGCGCUUGCCGAUCAACCAAACUUUUUUCCAGGUUGACCUCGGAUCAGGUAGGGAUACCCGCUGAACUUAAGCAUAUCAAUAAGCGGAGGA
rnacentral:misc_RNA from 1 species